rnacentral:rRNA from 1 species
GACGUAGGGCGCGAGCGUUGUCCGGAUUUAUUGGGCGUAAAGAGCUCGUAGGCGGUUUGGUAAGUCGGUUGUGAAAUCUCCAGGCUCAACCUGGAGGGGUCAUUCGAUACUGCCAUGACUAGAGUUCGGUAGGGGUGUGUGGAAUUCCUGGUGGAGCAGUGAAAUGCGCAGAGAUCAGGAGGAACACCCGUAGCGAAGGCGGCCCUCUGGACGGUGACUGACGCUGAGACGCGAAAGCGUGGGGAGCAAACAGG